rnacentral:rRNA from 1 species
UGAGGAAUAUUGGUCAAUGGGCGAGAGCCUGAACCAGCCAAGUAGCGUGCAGGAUGACGGCCCUAUGGGUUGUAAACUGCUUUUAUGUGGGGAUAAAGUGCGUGACGUGUCAUGCAUUGCAGGUACCAUAUGAAUAAGGACCGGCUAAUUCCGUGCCAGCAGCCUCGGUAAUACGGAAGGUUCGGGCGUUAUCCGGACUUAUUGGGCUUAAAGGGAGCGUAGGCCGUUUGGUAAGCGUGUUGUGAAAUGUAGGAGCUCAACUUCUAGAUUGCAGCGCGAACUGUCAGACUUGAGUGCGCACAACGUAGGCGGAAUUCAUGGUGUAGCGGUGAAAUGCAUAGAUAUCAUGAAGAUCUCCGAUUGCGAAGGCAGCUUACGGGAGCGCAACUGACGCUGAAGCUCGAAGGUGCGGGUAUCGAACAGG